rnacentral:lncRNA from 1 species
UAGCAGUGAUAGUAUAUAUGGACAUAUCUCUAUAAAUUGUUGCAUGCAAAAAUGAACUAAUACAACAAAAAUUGAAUAUAAUUAACUUGUUAACAAACAAACAAUUCUAGUUGUUUCUUUCUUUUGAUCAAACAAUGGCUUAUGUUAAGCUCGCUAUUUUCGCUGUCUUCCUGCUUACCGCAUUCCGUAUGUAUAUUUUAACUUCCUAUUUAUAUAUUCAUCUUUACUUUCUCACCAAUAUAUAUAUACCGUAAUUUUUUAUAGGGGUUCAUAUAAAUUAAUUUGUACGUAUUUGUACCUUCC